rnacentral:lncRNA from 1 species
AACAGUUGUAUUACCCUCCAAAAUGUGAACUACUUGCACAAUGAAAGCAAAUGAUCUGCUGUUAUGGAAAAAGAUUCGUAUAUAGAAGUCAAUAGUAGGCCAUCAAUAAUUGAAUAAUUUUAAUUAAUGUUAUCUUUAUCAAUUACGAUUUAACAUUUUCUUAUGGGUUAUGUAUUGAAGAAGAAUGCAUCUUCACCAUAUUUCUUUCAUGUUAUCUGUUAUGGACGGUAUUUGAGUUUUCAAGUAUUUGAG